rnacentral:rRNA from 1 species
CAGUCGCCGCGGUAAUACGUAGGUGGCAAGCGUUGUCCGGAAUUAUUGGGCGUAAAGCGCGCGCAGGCGGAUCAGUUAGUCUGUCUUAAAAGUUCGGGGCUUAACCCCGUGAGGGGAUGGAAACUGCUGAUCUAGAGUAUCGGAGAGGAAAGUGGAAUUCCUAGUGUAGCGGUGAAAUGCGUAGAUAUUAGGAAGAACACCAGUGGCGAAGGCGGCUUUCUGGACGAAAACUGACGCUGAGGCGCGAAAGCCAGGGGAGCGAACGGGAUUAGAUACCUGUGUAGUCCCUGUCUCUUAUACA